CAAAGAAUAAGUUCUGUUUUAUGCAUUAUAAGCUAAACAUGAUGGUAUAUGUUCGCCAACUGUAAGCUAGAGCAUCAAGCUUUCAAGUUGAUUUCAAGUUGAAUGGUCUCAUAAUGAUGGCAAUCUGUUUUUCAGCCCGUCCAUCGAUGGAAACACUACAAUAGAGGUGGAGCUUGUUUUCAAUAACACAGCAUCACCUGAAGUGACCGUUUCAACUGCCGAUGUACUGGAGACCAUGACGACGGCAGCAACCAACACCUCCGCUGGCGGAUUCUCCUUUGAUCCUGAAUCUAUUGUUGUCACAGAAACGCCAACCUCAACGACAGCACCAACAACAACUACGGCAACUCCAGAACCCUCAGUUCCUACUGUGUCUUUCACGGUAGAGGCUACACUAUCAAAGCCUUUCACUGCAGAGUUAACAAACCAAACGACUGCAGAGUUUCAAGAACUGCAAACAACUGUUGUGACAUCUUGCGAUGCGAUCUUCCAGGAGGCCUAUGGGUCGGUUUUCAUCACCACUCUUGUCCUUGGAUUCAGCCCGUCCAUCGAUGGAAACACUACAAUAGAGGUGGAGCUUGUUUUCAAUAACACAGCAUCACCUGAAGUGACCGUUUCAACUGCCGAUGUACUGGAGACCAUGACGACGGCAGCAACCAACACCUCCGCUGGCGGAUUCUCCUUUGAUCCUGAAUCUAUUGUUGUCACAGGUAUGGUCACAUUUUCCAUAUUUCAUCCAAUGAUAAAGGUAACAGCACUUUGCUCGUAACUAAUAACUUGUUGCUCAAGUAUGUGGCUUUUCCCUGAUUCUUGCGCUUAUGCAUGUACAAAUACAUAGUUACAAGUGACAUGUUCCUUCUCAGAAACGCCAACCUCAACGACAGCACCAACAACAACUACGGCAACUCCAGAACCCUCAGUUCCUACUGUGUCUUUCACGGUAGAGGCUACACUAUCAAAGCCUUUCACUGCAGAGUUAACAAACCAAACGACUGCAGAGUUUCAAGAACUGCAAACAACUGUUGUGACAUCUGUAAGUUGAUAUCAUUUCAAAUUUGAAGUCUUUCACGUUGCCCUCUUUUGCCUCUCGUCCUUCGAUAACCUUG
ensembl:lncRNA